rnacentral:rRNA from 1 species
AUACGUAGGGUGCGAGCGUUAAUCGGAAUUACUGGGCGUAAAGCGUGCGCAGGCGGUUGUGUAAGACAGGUGUGAAAUCCCCGGGCUUAACCUGGGAACUGCGCUUGUGACUGCACGGCUGGAGUGCGGCAGAGGGGGAUGGAAUUCCGCGUGUAGCAGUGAAAUGCGUAGAUAUGCGGAGGAACACCGAUGGCGAAGGCAAUCCCCUGGGCCUGCACUGACGCUCAUGCACG